rnacentral:rRNA from 1 species
ACGGGAGGCAGCAGUGAGGAAUAUUGGUCAAUGGGCGGAAGCCUGAACCAGCCAAGUCGCGUGAAGGAAGACGGUAUUAUGUAUUGUAAACUUCUUUAGACGCAGAGAAAUAAGGUGCUCGCGAGCACUGAUGCUAGUAUGCGUAGAAUAAGGAUCGGCUAACUCCGUGCCAGCAGCCGCGGUAAUACGGAGGAUCCGAGCGUUAUCCGGAUUUAUUGGGUUUAAAGGGUGCGCAGGCGGCGCUUUAAGUCAGUGGUCAAAUCGUGGGGCUCAACCUCAUCCCGCCAUUGAUACUGGAGCGCUUGAUUGCGGUUGAGGUAGGCGGAAUUCGUCGUGUAGCGGUGAAAUGCAUAGAUAUGACGAAGAACCCCGAUUGCGUAGGCAGCUGACCAAGCCGUAAGUGACGCUCAUGCACGAAAGUGCGGGGAUCGAACAGGAUUAGAUACCCUGGUA